CCUACGGGUGGCAGCAGUGGGGAAUAUUGCACAAUGGGGGAAACCCUGAUGCAGCGACGCCGCGUGAAGGAAGAAGUAUUUCGGUAUGUAAACUUCUAUCAGCAGGGAAGAAAAUGACGGUACCUGACUAAGAAGCCCCGGCUAACUACGUGCCAGCAGCCGCGGUAAUACGUAGGGGGCAAGCGUUAUCCGGAUUUACUGGGUGUAAAGGGAGCGUAGGCGGCGAUGCAGGUCAGAAGUGAAAGCCCGGGGCUCAACUCCGGGACUGCGUUUGAAACUGUAUGGCGAGAUGGCAGGAGAGGCAAGUGGAAUUCCUAGUGUAGCGGUGAAAUGCGUAGAUAUUAGGAGGAACACCAGUGGCGAAGGCGGCUUGCUGGACUGUAAAUGACGCUGAGGCUCGAAAGCGUGGGGAGCAAACAGGAUUAGAUACCCCGGUAGUC
rnacentral:rRNA from 1 species